AGCAGUCACAGGAUUAGCACAUCGGAACAAGCCCCAGAACUGCUGUUGAACCCAUGGUCCUCCCUCAGGCUCUGUGUCCUUUGGAGGCAUUCUCUUGCCACGGACUGGCACUCUCAGAGGAAUUCCAUGGAUGAAGUGGGAAUGGGAGAACUGAGGAUUUCCCCUGCUUCUACAGGAACUUCACCUUAGAGAACACAACCAGAAUCCCAUCGAAAGCAUCUUGACUACUUUCUGCACAUUCUCUUAAGACAGUGCAAAUCUUCAUUGUCUGAAUGCAAAGCAGACUGCAACCUUUCUCAGAAUACACAGCGCUGUUUUGCUGCUCUGGUUCCUUCGUUACUGGGCACCUUUGCCCACAGUGGGCAGAAUCCAGCCUGCCUGGUAAGACUCCGUCAGGGCACACUGUGAACUUUGGCCCGCUUGGCAGAGAUUUGCUCAUCAACUAAUUGAAAACUGACAAACGUUCAUAUCUAUUCAGGGGGAAGAACUGUCCCCCCACAGGCUGUACGUUUAACCAGAACAGGAAUCAAUUUUUAUUCAUCUUGGUAGCCUCCUCCCCCAAGUACUCGGACUGGAGAUUGGUACCUCAUCUUGUGCUCCACGCUGCUGAAUUGUGAACCUACUACCAACUUUGCAUCAAGAUGUUCAAGUUUCUUUUUAGCUGUCUCUGACAGGAGAACAGCAACAAGGAAAAAGGAAAAAAAGAAAAACAUCACAACAGCAAAGACCUCUACCCCCAAAGAAAGGAGGUAUUUUAGCUUAUUCAUCUACACCUGCCACCCAAAAAAUCCCUUCAUAAUCGUUCUGUCCUAACACUGUAAAAUGUUUCCAGAAAUUUCUCUCUGUAAAAAUGCCUUCUAAAUGAACUAUAAUCUUUUUAAGAUCAUUUAUGUGUAGGUUUUUAUUUUUUUUCAGUACUUUAUCUUGUUUCCUUUUCUGAGCAUUACAAACUCAGCCCAGCACCUCACCCACAUGGGACAGUGCUUCAGAUGCACGAUGUCAUUUUUCUGACGAAGGGUUACUGUCAAGUUAGACAAAACGACUUUGGUAAUGCAAGAUCUCGGGGGAGAAAGCAGAAGAUAAAUGAGCGGUGGCUACAGAACCACAACGUAACCUCAUUUUAAUCACAAGUGUUCACCCCUCAAUGUGCCAGGCUGAUAGGUUGGUGAGCAGACUCAGAAUAGGUCAGCUCCCCACCAAGCUCAAAUCAAGUGGUGGCAGCUAGAGAUAUGGUGGUGGAGUUUGGUGGUUACAAACACCGGCUUUGAACUCAGACAAGCCUGUGGUCCCUGGGUUAUCUUGUGUGGCACUAAAAACAAAACACAAAGGAUAUUAAGAACAGAACCCUCAGGAAGGGUUAUUCCAAUAAAAGGCAAUGAGAGGGGUAACAAGCAUCAGGGAAAGAGGAAAAAUCAGCAACGGGAUUCAUCAUCAACCUUCAUCUUCAACCUUCAGGUUUCAAUUCUCCGUUAACUAUUUUUUAUCCCUAUUUCAAUGCAACUGAAUAAUAAUUGAAUGCCUACUUUCUGUUAGGCAUUAAGGUCUCUGAGCUCCACACAAUCUGACUGGGAAGACAGGUCAACUUAAAUAAAAUAACUACAGCAAAAGCGAGACAAAACUUGGCAGAGAUGAUAUGCAUAGAGUGUAAAACACAAAGGUGCAGUAAAUCUGACUCUAAAGGAAGGCCACAUUCAAAGUGGGCCUUCAAGCAGAGGAAGAGUUUGCCAAGCAGACAAGGAAGGAAAAGGAUUCCAGGGGAAAAACGAAAAACAGAGCCUGAGAAAGGUCAGGGGUGAGCGCCGUAACCCCCUGGUUCCAGGGUCAACUGUAAUUAAUUCACAUUUAAAUUUAAAUAGCUACAUGUGGCUGGUGGCUAUCAUAUUGGACAGUGCAGGCCUUCAAUUAACAUUUAUUCUGUCACUUUGUUUUGGUAUAGCCCUGAAACAGAAUUUUUUUUUUUUUUUAAUGCGAUCUCGGGACAAAUAAAGAGCUCUAGAGUCAAAUUACUUGAAUUCAAAUUUAGGUUCUUCUUUUACAAGUGAUUUGACCUCAGGAAUUAUGUUUCACUACUCUUUGCCUCGGUUUCCCCAAUUGGCAAAAUAAAAGUACUUACCCCUAUAGGACUGUGGGGAGGAAUAGUGCCUGACAUAUAAUAUUUGUGGUACAUGUCGGCCGUAAUUACGAUUUGUGAACAUAUCGUCUCUAACACCAUGCUACUGUUUGUGAAUAUAUGCAAUCUCCAAUAUCAGGUAUUACUUAGUUUACUGUGAAUAAACACAUAAAAUGAAUCUUCACAAUCCUCUAACAAAAAAUAAUGUAGUCAGUAUCACUAGUCCAUUUCCUACACGGCAGCUUCACAAGAAGCUUUUUCUUUGAAAACAGACAAGCCAUUAGCUGGAACAUCUUUUUCUUCCCCCAGUUUCACAUCAAAGUUUUGCGGGGCUUUUUUUGCAAUAUUUCAAUCAUAACUUUGAUGAUCAUUCUCAUGAAAAAGACCAGGACAGUGGCGUUAACUAAAUGUGUAAAG